ensembl:lncRNA
AUGUCUGUCUCAGUACCUCUACAACAGUUCUGUCUGUCUCAGUACCUCUACAACAGUCCUGUCUGUCUCAGUACCUCUGUAACAGUCCUGUCUGUCUCAGUACCUCUGCAACAGUCCUGUCUGUCUCAGUACCUCCGCAACAGUCCUGUCUGUCUCAGUACCUCUACAACAGUCCUGUCUGUCUCAGUACCUCUGCAACAGUCCUGUCUGUCUCAGUACCUCUGCAACAGUCUUGUCUGUCUCAGUACCUCUACAACAGUCCUGUCUUUCUCAGUACCUCUACAACAGUCCUGUCUGUCUCAGUACCUCUACAACAGUCCUGUCUGUCUCAGUACCUCUACUACCGUCCUGUCUCAGUACCUCUACAACAGUCCUGUCUGUCUCAGUACCUCUAACAGUCCUGUCUGUCUCAGUACCUCUGCAACAGUCCUGUCUGUCUCAGUACCUCUACAACAGUCCUGUCUGUCUCAGUACCUCUACAACAGUUCUGUCUGUCUCAGUACCUCUACAACAGUUCUGUCUGUCUCAGUACCUCUGCAACAGUCCUGUCUCAGUACCUCUACAACAGUCCUGUCUCAGUAUCUCUACAACAGUCCUGUCUGUCUCAAUACCUCUACAACAGUCCUGUCUCAGUACCUCUGCAACAGUCCUGUCUCAGUACCUCUACAACAGUCCUGUCUCAGUACCUCUACAACAGUCCUGUCUCAGUACCUCUACAACAGUCCUGUCUGUCUCAUUACCUCUACAACAGUCCUGUCUGUCUCAGUACCUCUGCAAAAGUCCUGUCUGUCUCAGUACCUCUGCAACAGUCCUGUCUGUCUCAGUACCUCUGCAACAGUCCUGUCUCAGAAUCUCUACAACAGUCCUGUCUGUCUCAGUAUCUCUACAACAGUCCUAUCUGUCUCAGUACCUCUACAACAGUUCUGUCUGUCUCAGUAUCUCUACAACAGUCAUGUCUGUCUCAGUACCUCUGCAACAGUUAUGUCUGUCUCAGUACCUCUACAACAGUUCUGUCUGUCUCAGUACCUCUACAACAGUUAUGUCUGUCUCAGUACCUCUACAACAGUCAUGUCUGUCUCAGUACCUCUGCAACAGUCAUGUCUGUCUCAGUACCUCUACAACAGUCCUGUCUCAGUACCUCUGCAUCAGUCCUGUCUGUCUCAGUACCUCUGCAACAGUUAUGUCUGUCUCAGUACCUCUGCAUCAGUCCUGUCUGUCUCAGUACCUCUACAACAGUCCUGUCUGUCUCAGUACCUCUGCAUCAGUCCUGUCUGUCUCAGUACCUCUGCAACAGUCCUGUCUGUCUCAGUACCUCUGCAACAGUCCUGUCUCAGUACCUCUACAACAGUCCUAUCUGUCUCAGUACCUCUACAACAGUCCUGUCUGUCUCAGUACCUCUGCAUCAGUCCUGUCUGUCUCAGUACCUCUGCAACAGUCCUGUCUCAGUACCUCUACAACAGUCCUGUCUGUCUCAGUACCUCUGCAACAGUCCUGUCUGUCUCAGUACCUCUACUACAGUCCUGUCUGUCUCAGUACCUCUGCAACAGUCCUGUCUGUCUCAGUACCUCUAACAGUCCUGUCUGUCUCAGUACCUCUACAACAGUCCUGCCUCUCUUAGUACCUAUGCAACAGUCCUGUCUGUCUCAGUACCUCUGCAACAGUCCUGUCUGUCUCAGUACCUCUGCAACAGUCCUGUCUGUCUCAGUACCUCUAACAGUCCUGUCUGUCUCAGUACCUCUACAACAGUCCUGCCUCUCUUAG